GACGAACGCUGGCGGCGUGCUUAACACAUGCAAGUCGAACGCUGAAGCUUGGUGCUUGCGCUGGGUGGAUGAGUGGCGAACGGGUGAGUAAUACGUGAGUAACCUGCCCUUGACUCUGGGAUAAGCCUGGGAAACUGGGUCUAAUACUGGAUACGACAUGUCACCGCAUGGUGGUGUGUGGAAAGGGUUUUACUGGUUUUGGAUGGGCUCACGGCCUAUCAGCUUGUUGGUGGGGUAAUGGCUCACCAAGGCGACGACGGGUAGCCGGCCUGAGAGGGUGACCGGCCACACUGGGACUGAGACACGGCCCAGACUCCUACGGGAGGCAGCAGUGGGGAAUAUUGCACAAUGGGCGGAAGCCUGAUGCAGCGACGCCGCGUGAGGGAUGACGGCCUUCGGGUUGUAAACCUCUUUCAGCACGGAAGAAGCGAAAGUGACGGUACGUGCAGAAGAAGCGCCGGCUAACUACGUG
rnacentral:rRNA from 1 species